UUAGAUACCCGGGUAGUCCUAGCCGUAAACGAUACUCGCUAGGUGUCGGCCACGGUGCGACCGUUGUCGGUGCCGUAGGGAAACCGUGAAACGUGCCGCCUGGGAAGUACGGUCGCAAGGCUGAAACUUAAGGAAUUGCGGGGGAGCACCACAACGGGUGGAGCCUGCGGUUUAAUUGGACUCAACGCCGGGAAGCUCACCGGAUAAGACAGCGGAAUGAUUGCCGGGCUGAAGACCCUGCAUGACCAGCUG
rnacentral:rRNA from 1 species